UACGUAGGGUGCGAGCGUUGUCCGGAUUUAUUGGGCGUAAAGAGCGUGUAGGCGGCCAGGUAGGUCUGCUGUGAAAACUCGAGGCUCAACCUCAAGACGUCGGCGGAAACCAUCUGGCUAGAGUCCGGAAGAGGAGAGUGGAAUUCCUGGUGUAGCGGUGAAAUGCGCAGAUAUCAGGAAGAACACCCGUGGCGAAGGCGGCUCUCUGGGACGGUACUGACGCUGAGACGCGAAAGCGUGGGGAGCGAACAGG
rnacentral:rRNA from 1 species